rnacentral:lncRNA from 1 species
CACGAUAGAUAUUUUCUUGUGAUAUAUCUAGGAAGGAACAAGGUCCUCAAGUGGAUAGUUCCACUAUCCGCUUGUGGUUUGAUGAAACAUCAGACAAUAUCUUUAUCAAUGAAAUAGGCACAAUCUCAUACCCGUUCGUUCAAAACGAAAAGAAAAGAAACAUCAGACAAUAGUUCGAAAAUCAAAGAAAGAAAUAAAGAGAAAAAAAAUCGCCAGGAUCUUGUUUUGCCGUUCUGAAUUUGUGGUCGCCGCUCCCAUGCGAUGCGUAGCGUUGGUGGAUGGAUCCAUCAGUGGCCGCCGCCCACGGCGUCCUUGACCGCGGCCGCCGCGCCCUGGGCCAUCUGCGCCACCUGAUCAGCAGCCUGCGCUCCCACACGGAUGGGAGGAUUAGAGGAUUAUUCAUCGGAAAUCACCCGGCGAGGAGGAAUUCAUCCGUACUACCUGCUGGACGGUGUCGGCGGCGCGGUGCUGCUGCUGCUGCGCGCUGUCGGCCGCAGCUCCGGUGGCGUCGGCCGCGGCGCCGCCGGCGGCGUCCUUGACGGACUGCGCCGCGCUCUCCGCCUGGCACUGCACACACACACACAUGGAUCAUUCAUGGAUGAAUUCCAGGGCACGCCAUGCCAUGCAAGCAAAGCGAUUCGUCAGCACUAGCUCACCUCGCCCUCGGCGGCGUGCGCCUUGCCGGCCUGGAUGGAUUGCUCAACGUUCGACAUCGCCGAUGAUGGUUUCUUCUUGAAGCUGUCAAAAUUACUUGAAGUUGCCAGGCGCUUGAGCCGUGGUUUAUAUAGAGCCUUGUAGGAGCUGCAAGUCUUGACAAGUGUCAGGUUAAUUUUUAGCCAUUUGCUAAUUACCGCAAGCCAAAUUUAGAGCCUCCACAAAUAUCGUAUUCAUAAUUUAUUUCUAGAUUAAAUCACAACUAAAAGUGCUUAUAUAUCCAACAGUCACCUCUGAUGAGC